UACAGAUGAGCAAAGAAAGUGGUUUCUUAAAAUCAAAUCUAUUCCUGGUUAAGAUGAUGUGAA
rnacentral:pre_miRNA from 1 species